rnacentral:pre_miRNA from 1 species
GUAACACUCCCUCCGUUCGAAAAAGCUUGUCCCUCAAAUGGAUGUAUCUAGCACUAACUUGGUGCUAAAUACAUCCAUUUGAGAGACAAGCUUUUCCGGACGGAGGGAGUAUUGA